AACGAACGCUGGCGGCAUGCCUAACACAUGCAAGUCGAACGAGACCUUCGGGUCUAGUGGCGCACGGGUGCGUAACGCGUGGGAACCUGCACUUAGGUUCGGAAUAACUCCCCGACAGGGGUGCCAAUACCGGAUAAUGUCUUCGGACCAAGGAUUUAUCGCCUUUGGCUGGGCCAGCGUUGGAUUAGCUAGUUGGUAGGGUAAAAGCCUAACAAGGCGACGAUCCAUAGCUGGUCUGAGAGGAUGAUCAGCAACACUGGGACUGAGACACGGCCCAGACUCCUACGGGAUGCAGCAGUGGGGAAUAGUGGACAAUGGGCGAAAUCCUGAUCCAGCAAUGCCGCGUGAGUGAUGAAGGCCGUAGGGUUGUAAAGCGCUUUUACCCGGGAUGAUAAUGACAGUACCGGGAGAAUAAGCUCCGGCUAACUCCGUG
rnacentral:rRNA from 1 species